AUGCUUCUACUUUCUGUAUGGAGCUGGGAGCGUCUGCCUGUUGGACGCCCGAAGAGCGUAAAGUUUAAUCCUUGGGAUGAAGAUGACGAAUUACGGUGCCUCACUUGGGCUUACAAGUAGGAUUUGGUAUCGAGAUGA
rnacentral:rRNA from 1 species